rnacentral:rRNA from 1 species
CCUACGGGGGGCAGCAGUGAGGAAUAUUGGUCAAUGGGCGCGAGCCUGAACCAGCCAAGUCGCGUGAGGGAAGACGGUCCUAUGGAUUGUAAACCUCUUUUGUCGGGGAGCAAAAGACGCCACGCGUGGCGUUCCGAGUGUACCCGAAGAAAAAGCAUCGGCUAACUCCGUGCCAGCAGCCGCGGUAAUACGGAGGAUGCGAGCGUUAUCCGGAUUUAUUGGGUUUAAAGGGUGCGAAGGCGGAGGAUCAAGUAAGCGGUAAAAUUUAGGGGCUCAACCUCUUCGAGCCGUUGAAACUGGUUGUCUUGAGUGAGCAAGAAGUAUGCGGAAUGCGUGGUGUAGCGGUGAAAUGCAUAGAUAUCACGCAGAACUCCGAUUGCGAAGGCAGCAUACUGGCGCUCAACUGACGCUCAUGCACGAAAGUGUGGGUAGCGAACAGGAUUAGAUACCCCUGUAGUC